ACGAACCUCUGGAGAGACUCGUAAAGAGCACCGAAGGAGCAAGGUAACUAAUAAUUUAGUUAUUGAAACUCUCAGGUAAAAGGACAGGGGAU
rnacentral:ncRNA from 2 species